rnacentral:rRNA from 1 species
GAAACUAACAAGGAUUCCCCUAGUAACGGCGAGCGAAGCGGGAAGAGCUCAAAUUUGAAAUCUGGUGGCCUCAGGUCAUCCGAGUUGUAAUCUAUAGAAGUGUUUUCCGUGCUGGCCCAUGUACAAGUCCCUUGGAACAGGGCGUCAUAGAGGGUGAGAAUCCCGUCCUUGACAUGGACUACCAGUGCUCUGUGAUACACUUUCAACGAGUCGAGUUGUUUGGGAAUGCAGCUCAAAAUGGGUGGUAAAUUCCAUCUAAAGCUAAAUAUUGGCGAGAGACCGAUAGCGAACAAGUACCGUGAGGGAAAGAUGAAAAGCACUUUGGAAAGAGAGUUAAACAGUAUGUGAAAUUGUUGAAAGGGAAACGAUUGAAGUCAGUCGUGCUCAAUGGACUCAGCCGUUCUGCGGUGUAUUUCCAUUGGGUGGGGUCAACAUCAGUUUUGAUCGCUGGAUAAAGGCAGGAGGAAUGUAGCACCCCCGGGUGAACUUAUAGCCUCUUGUCACAUACAGUGGUUGGGACUGAGGAACGCAGCAUGCCUUUAUGGCCGGGAUUCGUCCACGUACAUGCUU